AUGUCGGGCGGUGUCCGUGCAACCCUGCCGCCCGGCUGCGUGCUGGACCAACGCGUGCGCACCGAUUUCAACGACGACGAUCAGGAAGACCUAAUCGCCAUGCAGCCGUUCACGAUUCUGAGAUGCGCGGAGAAGAAGGCGUUCGGGUUCUCAUCCCAAUUGCAGGCCAGCGCCGAGGAGAUGGUCCAGCGCAUGGACAUCGGGGUGCACCUAGCCGACACCCCGCCCGGACUCUCAUGCCUUGGCCUCCGAGGCAGCAGCCCAUUUGCCAACAUCGAAGCCGUCGACAGAGGCACCAUCGUUCUCCGUACUACAUUGCUUCACGACUUCGGCCACAUCGUCUAUCUGAUCUAUGACGCCGUUAAUGGGUCGCUCCACGUGAUUCCCACGCCGCAAAACCCCUCCUGGGGGUUCACAGGCCUCACCAAUCGCAUCCUCAUCCAGCGGCCACGCUAUUGCCACGACUACGCGCUAGUCCUCGCGGGCAAGCUCCACGUCACCUAUGGUGGACAAGAUCAAGAUGCUCUCCUGCUAUGGCGGCCCAUCUCCUCAUCAUCGCCUCCUUGGUCUGAGGUCAAGAAGGCCAUGUUCCCAAACAAGUCCCUCAUCGACAUGAGCAUGUUCCAAGCCGACAUGGCGUUUUCGGUCAACGGCAUCAGCUACUGGGCAGACCUCCUGCGCGGCGUCACAUACUGCCUCUGCGACGCCCUCUUCAAUAACGAGGGUGACGACGACCCAGUGGUGAAGUUUGGCUUCUUUCCCCUGCCCGGAGAGUUGCCCGGAGCGGACCACCGCCGCAGCAACACCCGGGUGGCACAGCCGAAAGCCUACCGUAACAUGGGGGUCGUCCGGGACUCCAUCAUCAAGUUUAUUUCCAUUGAUGGCGUCCUCGAGCAUGUUGAACUCAAGGACCGCACCUUAACAGUUUGGAGGUUGUUGGACCAUGACAUGGGCUGGAAGAAAGAGUAUGAGCUCCGCGUCGAGACACUCUGGGGGCUCGAUGGAUUCGGGGACAUCCCAAAGGACAUAACCCCCAUGUACCCCCUUCUUAGCACAGAGGAUCAUGACGUUGUCUACUUUGCACUCGGUGAGUAUCGCGAGAACAGCGAGAAGCAAAGAAACCGGAAGUUUAUCCCAACACAAGCACACUAUUUGCUCGCCGUUAACCUGCAGAAUAAAACCAUAUAG
rnacentral:rRNA from 1 species